CUACGGGGCUCUCCAGUGGGGAAUAUUGCACAAUGGAGGAAACUCUGAUGCAGCAACGCCGCGUGGAGGAUGACACUUUUCGGAGCGUAAACUCCUUUUAUAUAGGAAGAAGAUGACGGUACUAUAUGAAUAAGCGCCGGCUAACUCCGUGCCAGCAGCCGCGGUAAUACGGAGGGCGCAAGCGUUACUCGGAAUCACUGGGCGUAAAGAGCGUGUAGGCGGAUUAAAAAGUCAGAAGUGAAAUCCUAUAGCUUAACUAUAGAACUGCUUCUGAAACUCUUAAUCUAGAAUAUGGGAGAGGUAGAUGGAAUUUCUGGUGUAGGGGUAAAAUCCGUAGAGAUCAGAAGGAAUACCGAUUGCGAAGGCGAUCUCCUGGAACAUUACUGACGCUAAGGCGUGAAAGCGUGGGGAGCAAACAGGAUUAGAUACCCUCGUAGUC
rnacentral:rRNA from 1 species